rnacentral:rRNA from 1 species
UACGGGGGGAGCAAGCGUUGUUCGGAUUUACUGGGCGUAAAGGGCGCGUAGGCGGCCACGACAAGUCACUUGUGAAAUCUCCGGGCUUAACUCGGAACGGUCAAGUGAUACUGUCGGGCUAGAGUGCAGAAGGGGCAACUGGAAUUCUCGGUGUAGCGGUGAAAUGCGUAGAUAUCGAGAGGAAUACCUGCGGCGAAGGCGGGUUGCUGGGCUGACACUGACGCUGAGGCGCGAAAGCCAGGGGAGCGAACGGG